AUACUUACCAGGCUGGGGAGAUACCAUGGUCAUGAAGGUGGUUUUCCCAGGGUGAGGCUCAUCCAUUGCACUCCAGAUGUGCUGACCCCUGAGAUUUCCCCAAAUGGAGAAAACUCAGCUGCAUAAUAUGUGGUAGUGGGGGACUGCAUUCAUGCUUUCUCAUG
ensembl:snRNA U1 U1 spliceosomal RNA